CGUAAAGCGCAUGCAGGUGGUUUGUUUAAGUCAGAUGUGAAAGCCCGGGGCUCAACCUCGGAAUUGCAUUUGAAACUAGGCAAACUAAGAGUACUGUAGAGGGGGGGUAGGAAUUUCAGGUGUAGCGGUGAAAUGCGUAGAGAUCUGAAGGAAUACCGGUGGCGAAGGCGGCCCCCUCGGACAGAUACUGACACUCAGAUGCGAAAGCGUGGGGAGCAAACAGGAUUAGAUACCCCUGGUAG
rnacentral:rRNA from 1 species